CCCAAAUUUUUUGAACUCCCUUAUGAUUCAUCACCCCCAAACUCAAUCCCAGUCUUCCCUUUGUGGUAUGGUACCUUGAAGUACAAUUUCAGAGAGAUCCAUACACUUGAACACAAGUUAUUGUCUGGAAACUAGAAAAAUGCUUGUUUUUUGGCCCCAAAUUCUUAAACUUUUAGGGCAAUUACCCCCAAACUCAAACCCAGCUUUCCCUUUGUGAUAUGGAACCUUGAAGUACAAUUUCAUAAAGAUCAAUACACUUACACACAAGUUAUUGUCCUGAAACUAGAAAAAUGCUUGUUUUUUUGCCCCUUUAUGGCCCCUAAUUCCUAAAAUUUUGAGGCAAUUACCCCCAAAAUCAAUCCCAGCCUUCCCUUUGUGGUAUGGUACCUUGCAGUACAAUUUCAGAGAGAUCCAUACAUUUGAACACAAGUUAUUGUCUGGAAACUAGAAAAAUGCUUAUUUUUGGCCCCUUUUUGGCCCCUUAUUCCUAAACUUUUUGGGCAAUUACCCCCAAACUCAAUUCCAGCUUUCCCUUUGUGAUAUGGAACCUUGCAGUACAAUUUCAUAAAGAUCCAUACACUUACACACAAGUUAUUGUCAUGAAACUAGAAAAAUGCUUGUUUUUCGCCCCUUUUUGGCCCCUAAUUCCUAAAAUAUGGAGGCAAUUACCCCCAAAA